AGAGUUUGAUCCUGGCUCAGGACGAACGCUGGCGGCGUGCUUAACACAUGCAAGUCUACGAGAACGAGGUAGCAAUAUCUUUAGUAAAGUGGCGCACGGGUGCGUAACACGUAAGCAAUCUACCUUUGGGUCUGGAAUAACUUCGAGAAAUCGAGGCUAAUACCGGAUAAUGCAGCGGCACCGCAUGGUGAUGUUGUUAAAGUUUAAGUAAUGCCUAUAGAUGAGCUUGCGUCUGAUUAGCUAGUUGGUAGGGUAAAGGCCUACCAAGGCUACGAUCAGUAGCUGGUCUGAGAGGAUGAUCAGCCACACUGGAACUGAGACACGGUCCAGACUCCUACGGGAGGCAGCAGUGAGGAAUAUUGGGCAAUGCCCGCAAGGGUGACCCAGCAACGCCGCGUGGAGGAUGAAGGCCGUAAGGUUGUAAACUCCUGUUAGAGGAGAAGAACAGUACCGAUUGGAUCGGUAUUUGACUGUACCCUCAGAGAAAGCCCCGGCUAACUACGUGCCAGCAGCCGCGGUAAUACGUAGGGGGCAAGCGUUGUCCGGAUUUACCGGGUGUAAAGGGCGCGCAGGCGGAAUAUCAAGUCAGAGGUGAAAUCCUACAGCUUAACUGUAGAACUGCCUUUGAUACUGUUAUUCUUGAGUUCGGGAGAGAGAGACGGAAUUCCAGGUGUAGUGGUGAAAUACGUAGAUAUCUGGAAGAACACCAGUUGCGAAGGCGGUCUCUUGGUCCGAUACUGACGCUGAGGCGCGAAAGCGUGGGGAGCAAACAGGAUUAGAUACCCUGGUAGUCCACGCUGUAAACGAUGAAUACUAGGUGUUGGGUUUUUAACUCAGUGCCGCAGCUAACGCAUUAAGUAUUCCACCUGGGAAGUACGAUCGCAAGGUUGAAACUCAAAGGAAUUGACGG
rnacentral:rRNA from 1 species